GGAAGAGCAAUCAGUGCUCUUAACCACUGAGCCAUCUCUCCAGCCCUGCAUUCUUUCUUAAUACUCUAGGAUUUUAAAUUUUUUUCAGAAAAUGUUUAUUUAUGUAAAUACUUUCAAACCCAAUUAUAAGCUUAUAGAAAAUGUGUUCUAGUAUAUUGCAAAUAUUUCAUAUGCUAGGGGAUUAUCUUGUGUGUGUGUGUGUGUGUGUGUGUGUAGCCCUGGUUGUCCUGGAACUCACUCUGUAGACCAGGCUGGCCUUGAACUCAGAAAUCCGCCUGCCUCCGCCUCCCGAGUGCUGGGAUUAAAGGCGUGCGCCACAAGUUUAUGUUCUGCAUAUCCAGAGCCCUGGAAUCCAUCCCUGAACACACAAACAACAAUCACAAAACCCACCAGCUGUGUGGUAUAUUCACUGUUACUGGUCUUUUUGCUUCUUUGUGGGUUUAGGGGCAUCAAGUUCAUUGGGCAUGUUUGACAUCUAAUUUCUUCUUGAUUGUUCUUUGGGCAUAAAUACUUAACAAACCGCAACCAAUAGCAACCAACCAAAAACCCACCAACAACCAGCUCUCCCUCUCGGGGCCCUAGCAUUUAUGUAUCCUCUAAAAAGUCCCCAGAUUUUCAAACCUUAUAUUGUAGAAAUUAUCUGCUACUGGCAAAAUCACACCCCUGCUAAAGCACAAGGCAAAUCAUAGUCAGCUACUGUGGACAAUCUGAAGCAGCCACAUAGCCCAGACCUGAGAUUAAAACAAAAACAUUCUCAUCAAAACUGUCACCACAUUACAUCUUUAAUCCCAACUCUAAGGAGGCAAAACAGGUGGAUCUCUGAGUUCUGGGUCAGCUUGGCCUACUUGAGUAGUACCAGGGCAGCCAAGGAUUCAUAGUGAGACUGUCCAGGAGAGGGGGAAGGAAGGGGAGGGGUUGCUACACAGCUACACUAAUGGGAAUCCACGGUUGCUUUCAUUAGGCUAUGGUGCAUCCUGUGUUCUCUGUGUCCUGAAACUACAGACUUUUCCACCCCUAAGCUGUGAAUAAACCAUGACCGAGCUCUAGUAUGGUGGCUCAGCAGCUGAAGUGCAAGCCAGGUGACCGAGUUUGAUUUCUAGAACCCUCGUGGUAGAAGGAGGGGACAAACCCCUGCAAUCACACACAUAAAUGUUAGUUUGGUGGCAGAAAAAGCCACAGCUUGCCAUUGUCUUCAGAGGAACAGUUAGGAAGCUGACAUUUAGAAGGCAGAGGCAGAAGGAUCAAUUCAAGUUCAAGACCAGCCAGGACUACAUAACAAAACCCUGUCUCAACAAAACAACAACAACAAAAGCAAACAGUGAGUGGUCAGACAUGCCAGCAGCCCAAGGCAUCUGGAAUCAGAAUAUUCACUCCUGUGGGAAAUGGAGGCAUCAUUUGUUCUCAUGAAUCUUGAAGGCAGUGGUACUGUAUUCUGCUAGAGGCACAUGGUCUCUACCUCAGCUGGAAGCAGUUUCUGAAUGUUAGGAACCUCACUUAAGUGUUCAGAGCAUGUGGAAGGAUUCCAGUGGCACUAGACUGAGAGCAAGCCUGCAUUUCCCGCAUCAGCAGGUAGAAGUCCUUCACAAACCUGAUGACCCCUAGUGCCGCCUCCAAAUCUACACAGUAGAAGGAGAAAACCAACCAUGGAAGGGUCUCCUCUGGCUUCUUGUGGCACUGUGGCACACAAGACUAUAUGUACAUACACAACAAGAAUACAAGUUUAAAUAUGAAAGAAACGAAAUGGCUGAUGGCUCAGUGGUUAAGAGCACUGUUUUGCAGAGGACCUGGGCUUGGGUCCCAGCACCCACAUGGUGGCUCACAAUCAUCUCUAAUUCCAGUUCCAGGGGAUCUGACGUCUGACCUCAGGCAUGAGGCAUGCACAUGGUACACAGGCAUACAUGCAGGCAAGACACUUGCACAUAGAUCUUAACAUCUUAAUAUAUAAUAUAUAGAGAGAGAAAGAGUGAGCAAGAGAGCUAUUGGGUUUUGUCUUCUGAUUUUUUUUUUUUUUUCUGAGAAAAGGUCUUACUUCGUUGCUCUGGCUGAUUUGAAACUCACUAUAUAGACGAGACUCAUAGAAAUCUGCCAUUGUCU
rnacentral:lncRNA from 1 species